CCCCUCUAAGGACUUUUGCUUUUACUCUGAAUGAGAUGGGAGUCAUUGGAGGGUUUUGAGCAGAGGAGUGGCAUCUUUAA
rnacentral:miRNA from 1 species